AUACAACUCUGAUACAGAGGGAUUAUGUGACUUUUUUUUUUUUUUCAGUCAUCCAGGAACUUUAAGGCCAAACGUGGAGAUCAGUCUAGAUCUUUUGCAUCCCUGACCAGUGGUUCCUCCAGGGUAAAUCUUCCUCUCCAGAAGAGUGUGGAGGGAGACAUCCAGAGUAGUUCCACUGUUUAAGGAAAGGCUGAUGUAUCAGGAUGCAUGGAACAAAGAGACUUUGAGGGAUUUUGACUGCAAUUGCUGGCACAUUCCUUGUCUUCUGCCUGUUCUUUUUCACCAUUAUGCUGCAAGCAGCAGGCUUCCAUGGAGUGACUGACCAUCCUGGUGGGCUGCUGAGGUUUCUUGUCUUCAUCCUCUCCCUCGUGCUCUUUAGCAACUUAGUAAACUUAGGUGAAAGACUCCAGGCAAAGAUAUUCCCCCAAAUCAUUAACUUUUUCUUCCUUUUUUUGAUUCUGGCCUCCUUCACUGGUCUUAUGUUCACAUUUGGCCUCUACAACAUGAAAGAAGAUUCUCUGUUAAAAGGACCUGGCUUCCUUUAG
rnacentral:lncRNA from 1 species